rnacentral:rRNA from 1 species
AUUGAACGCUGGCGGCAUGCUUUACACAUGCAAGUCGGACGAGUGGCGAACGGGUGAGUAACGCAUCGGAACGUACCGAGUAAUGGGGGAUAACUGUCCGAAAGGACAGCUAAUACCGCAUAUUAUUCGAGCGGCCGAUGUCUGAUUAGCUGGUUGGCGGGGUAAAGGCCCACCAAGGCGACGAUCAGUAGCGGGUCUGAGAGGAUGAUCCGCCACACUGGGACUGGGACACGGCCCAGACUCCUACGGGAGGCAGCCGUGGGGAAUUUUGGGCAAUGGGCGCAAGCCUGAUCGAGCCAUGCCGCGUGUCUGAAGAAGGCCUUCGGGUUGUAAAGGACUUUUGUCAGGGAAGCGGUACCGGAAGAGAAAGCCACGGCUAACUACGUGCCAGCAGCCGCGGUAAUAC